rnacentral:rRNA from 1 species
UACGUAGGGUGCAAGCGUUGUCCGGAAUUAUUGGGCGUAAAGAGCUCGUAGGCGGUUCGUCACGUCGGCUGUGAAAUCCCGAGGCUCAACCUCGGGCCUGCAGUGGGUACGGGCAGACUGGAGUGCGGUAGGGGAGAAUGGAAUUCCUGGUGUAGCGGUGGAAUGCGCAGAUAUCAGGAGGAACACCGGUGGCGAAGGCGGGUCUCUGGGCCGAUACUGACGCUGAGGAGCGAAAGCGUGGGGAGCGAACAGG